rnacentral:rRNA from 1 species
GGUCAAGCGAAUAAGGGCUGAUGGUGGAUACCUAGCUACGCAGCGGCGAUGAAGGACGUGGUUACCGACGAUAAGCUCCGGGGAGUUGGAAGCAAGCAUUGAGCCGGAGAUUUCCGAAUGGGGCAACCCUAUAUACUAGCUGUUGAAUAUAUAGACAGCAAAGAGCCAACCCAGCGAAUUGAAACAUCUUAGUAGCUGGAGGAAGAGAAAUCAAAUAGAGAUUCCCAAAGUAGUGGUGAGCGAAAUGGGAAAAGCCUAAACCUAAGUACUUGUACUUGGGGGUCGUGGGACAGCAAUAUCGAAUCCGUAUAUUAGACGAAGUAGCUAAAUACUACACCAGAGAAAGUGAAAGUCUUGUAGUCGAAAAUAGAAGGAUAGUAGCUGAAUCCCGAGUAGCAUGGAGCACGUGAAAUUCCAUGUGAAUCAGCGAGGACCACCUCGUAAGGCUAAAUACGACUGCGUGAGCGAUAGUGAACAAGUACCGCGAGGGAAAGGUGAAAAGAACCCCGGAAGGGGAGUGAAAUAGAACAUGAAACCAUCAGCUACAAGCAGUGGAGUCCGAUUAAAC